GAUGAACGCUGGCGGCGUGCCUAAUACAUGCAAGUCGAGCGAACAGACGAGGAGCUUGCUCCUCUGACGUUAGCGGCGGACGGGUGAGUAACACGUGGAUAACCUACCUAUAAGACUGGGAUAACUUCGGGAAACCGGAGCUAAUACCGGAUAAUAUAUUGAACCGCAUGGUUCAAUAGUGAAAGACGGUUUUGCUGUCACUUAUAGAUGGAUCCGCGCCGCAUUAGCUAGUUGGUAAGGUAACGGCUUACCAAGGCGACGAUGGGUAGCCGACCUGAGAGGGUGGUCGACCACACUGGAACUGAGACACGGUCCAGACUCCUACGGGAGGCAGCAGUAGGGAAUCUUCCGCAAUGGGCGAAAGCCUGACGGAGCAACGCCGCGUGAGUGAUGAAGGUCUUCGGAUCGUAAAACUCUGUUAUUAGGGAAGAACAAAUGUGUAAGUAACUAUGCACGUCUUGACGGUACCUAAUCAGAAAGCCACGGCUAACUACGUG
rnacentral:rRNA from 1 species